UACGUAGGUGACAAGCGUUAUCCGGAAUUACUGGGCGUAAAGCGUGCGUAGACGGUUAUUUAAGUCAGGUGUGAAAGCCCAGGGCUCAACCUUGGAAUUGCAUUUGAGACUGAAUAGCUAGGGUGCGGAAGAGGGAAGCGGAAUUUCCGGUGUAGCGGUGAAAUGCGUAGAUAUCGGAAGGAACACCAGUGGCGAAAGCGGCUUCCUGGUCCAGCACCGACGUUCAGGCACGAAAGCGUGGGGAGCAAACAGG
rnacentral:rRNA from 1 species